rnacentral:rRNA from 1 species
UACGUAGGCAGCAAGCGUUGUUCGGAGUUACUGGGCGUAAAGGGUGCGUAGGCGGCUUUUUAAGUUUGGUGUGAAAUCUCCCGGCUCAACUGGGAGGGUGCGCCGAAUACUGAGAGGCUAGAGUGUGGGAGAGGAAAGUGGAAUUCCUGGUGUAGCGGUGAAAUGCGUAGAUAUCGUGAGGAAGGCCAGUGGCGAAGGCGGAUCUCUGGACAGUUCCUGACGCUGAGGCACGAAGGUCAGGGGAGCAAACGGG